rnacentral:rRNA from 1 species
UACGUAGGGUGCGAGCGUUAAUCGGAAUUACUGGGCGUAAAGUGUGCGCAGGCGGCCGAGCAAGUCGAGUGUGAAAGCCCCGAGCUUAACUUGGGAACUGCGCUCGAAACUACUUGGCUAGAGUGUGGCAGAGGGAGGUGGAAUUCCACGUGUAGCAGUGAAAUGCGUAGAGAUGCGGAGGAACACCGAUGGCGAAGGCAGCCCCCUGGGCCAACACUGACGCUCAGGCACGAAAGCGUGGGGAGCAAACAGG